rnacentral:rRNA from 1 species
UGGCGAACGGGUGAGUAACGCGUGGGGAACCUGCCUCAAAGAGGGGGACAACAGUUGGAAACGACUGCUAAUACCGCAUAAGCCCACGGGUCGGCAUCGACCUGAGGGAAAAGGAGCAAUCCGCUUUGAGAUGGCCUCGCGUCCGAUUAGCUAGUUGGUGAGGUAAUGGCCCACCAAGGCGACGAUCGGUAGCCGGACUGAGAGGUUGAACGGCCACAUUGGGACUGAGACACGGCCCAG